rnacentral:rRNA from 1 species
GAUGAACGCUAGCUGGAGGCUUAAUACAUGCAAGUCGAGCGGGAUUGGUAGCAAUACCAUGAGAGCGGCGCACGGGUGAGUAACGCGUACACGACCUACCUCUGACAGGGGGAUAGCCCUGGGAAACUGGGAUUAAUACCGCAUAUUAUUCUGAUUAAUAAAGGAUUGGAAUGAAAGUUCAGGCGGUCAGAGAUGGGUGUGCGUCUGAUUAGCUAGUUGGUGGGGUAACGCCUACCAAGGCGAUGAUCAGUAGGGGGCGUGAGAGCGUGGUCCCCCACACGGGUACUGAGACACGGACCCGACACCUACGGGUGGCUGCCUGAGACGCCAAGGCACACAGGGGAUAGG